rnacentral:rRNA from 1 species
GGUUAGACGAAGAAUCUAAAUAGGAUAUUAAGCAGAAGUUAAUUAAUGUAAAAAUAAGUGGGAGUUAGCCUCAAUUCUUUUUUUGGGUGAAAUCUUUAUAAAGAAAAAAGUUUCCUCCAAUUAUCAAAAAGAGAUUAAAAAGUAAGUAUAAAAAACCAGGAUUAGAUACCCUGUUAUUUCUUAAGAUAAUUUUAGCAGGGUAGUAAAAGUUGUUCUUCAAACUCAAAGGUUUUGGCGGCAUUUUAACCAAAUAGAGGAGCUUGUCUUGUAAUCGAUAACCCCCGAUAUAUCUUACCUUCGCUUAUUUAGCUUGUAUACCUCCGUUGUCAGAUUACUUCAAGAGAACGUUUUCCGGAAAAAUUAUUUUCUUACUUCAGGUCAAGGUGCAGCUUAUGUGAAGGUAAUGAUGAGCUACAAUUUUUUAAAAAACGGAUCUUAGGUGUAAUCCUAAUUGAAGAUGGAUUUAUUAGUAAGAAAACUUUAGAAAAGUUCUCUGAAUAUGGCAAUUGUAUGUGCACAUAUCGCCCGUCACUCUCCUUUCAAGAGGAGAUAAGUCGUAACAAA